rnacentral:lncRNA from 1 species
GACUAAAUUCUUUUUAAUUGAAGGCACAUGCAAUACUCUAUUUAGUGUAAGAGACUUAUCAUUAACUGUGGGAACAUUUCUUUUUCCAAUAUGUGCAAUGUGUAAUGACUUCCCAUCACCAACUAUCAAUUUUUCCUUACCUUCAUAUUUCUUGACUGUAUACAGAUUACCUUUGUCGGAUGUUACAUGAUUGCUUGCACCGGAAUCUGUAAACCAGGCUGGAUCUUCAACAGUUCUUGGUGAAGCCACAUAUGCAGAAGGAGCUGGGCUGUUGUUCUGAUGAUUUUGAUUACUUGGUCUGCUGCCCAUGUAUCUGUCAUCGUACCUGUAAAAACACCAGCUGGCUGAGUGGUUGUUGAGUCCACAGAUUUGGCAAGGUCCUUUACUUUCAUUUUGCCUGCCUGCUCUACCUCUACCUCUCGUUCUCCCUCUGAAAUUUAAGGAUCUACCUCUGUUGGUACCUCUAAAAAUUCUGCCACCACCUGAGCUAGUUCUUUGGGCCAGUUGAACACUUGAUUGACCAACAUUCAGUGAUGCAAAGUUGUCCCUGACUUGACUCAAAUACUCAAGCCUACUUUCAAAUGUCAUCAGCACAGAAGACAGUUCAUGCCAGGAUAUAUUAUCCCUGCUAUUAACUUGCACCACUAUAGGUGUGUAUUCUUCAUCCAACCCUGAUAAAACCUGAGUUACAAGAUCACUGUGGUCAAUAGCUUUCCCAGCUAUCUCCAGAUUAUCAGCCAGUUGUUUGACGGUGGUGAGGUAUUGAUCCAUAGACAUAGUGCCUUUCCUCAUCCUUUGUAGUUCUCCAGUGAGGAACACGACCCUUGACUUGUUCAGUACACCAUAGCUUUCUUCCAAUGCAGUCCAUAACUUGCUUGAACUGUUGCAUCCCAUGACUCUCAUUGCUAUUUCGGGGGUCAUGGAUGAGUAUAACCACCCAAUCAACAGUUGAUCAGUUGAGAUCCACCUAUUAUACUCAGGAUUCUGAAUCAUUUCUACAGCUUCUCCUUGACCAGUAGUGGUUUGAGUGGCUAGGAAUUCUGGUGGACACUGCUUUGUCCCCAGCAAAUAACCCUCUAGGUUAUGCCCUUUGAUUAUUGGCAUAAUCAUAUUCUUCCAUAGCAAGUAGUUGUUCCUGUCGAGUUUUACUGAUGGAGUCUGAGUAAGGUUCAUUCCAAAUGAUGAACUCUGAUUUGCAGCUACUUGGGUGAAUGAUGAUGUGCUUGAAUCAAUUGGAGCUGGAUGACUACCUGAACCGGUGUUAGCCAUAUUGGCUCUGAUACCAAGUAAAGAAUU